rnacentral:rRNA from 1 species
UACGUAGGGUGCGAGCGUUGUCCGGAAUUACUGGGCGUAAAGAGCUCGUAGGUGGCUUGUCGCGUUGUUCGUGAAAACCGGGGGCUUAACCCUCGGCGUGCGGGCGAUACGGGCAGACUUGAGUACUGCAGGGGAGACUGGAAUUCCUGGUGUAGCGGUGGAAUGCGCAGAUAUCAGGAGGAACACCGGUGGCGAAGGCGGGUCUCUGGGCCGAUACUGACGCUGAGGAGCGAAAGCGUGGGGAGCGAACAGG